GGAGUUCCCACUCCACUCCAAGGAUCCAAGAGCGCACAAGCUGCUCUUCACGGGCAACUACCUCUGCAAGCUUCACCCCCGGCUCUGCCACGCCCCACAGGGUUCCCUGUCUGGUCUGGAUCACCUCGCUCUCCCUGCGCCUCUCUCCUUGGCCUAGCUCGACAAGUGCCUCCCGCGAUCCUGCGCCUCUACCCCUCGGUUUCGUCGCCGCUAAGGGGUGGUGGUGUCUGAUCCAUCAGGCUCUGCGCUCCUCCUUCGGAUCCAUCCUCAAUGUCCAGGCAGGACUCUCACAUGAAGCCGGUGCUGUCUGCUGUUCACUCUAAGAUGCUCAGCCACUCAGGACAGUUACGAUCUGUCAUCCAGGGCGCGAACCGACUCUCCUCCAUUGCUAUCUGAGUAGGCAGUCUCCUCUGUGAGGUCGGUCCCAUCCUUACUAUCUAGAUCCCUGCCCAGGAAGACUGAGAUGAGGACCCUAGGAGAGAGCAGCCAGGCAUAGUGAAGGUGGAGGAUGAGUAUAAAUAGUGAUCCCAGCGCGAUCAGAGAAGCUCCCCUGCCCCCACCCAUCGCAGUGGGAGUGAGUCAUCAGAUCUAUCCCCAAGACAAGAAAGUCCUAACUUCAUUCCCGUGCAGUCCCGGGCCAUUGAAGGGAAACCUCCACUCCAACCCCCGGAAGACGCCUUAGAUGAGAAAGUGAAGAGAUAUUGUAUGAGCUCAUUCAUCAAAAGCCAUGCCAACACCAGCUCAGGCAGUGCUGCUAGGGGUUUCCUACCUUUCUGGAGGUCCAGUUCUCUCUGAAGACAGAGAAGAUGAAGGGAAGAAGGGUUUCAAACAGGAACUCUCAACCCACGUCUGCCAGUUGUAGACUCUGUAAACAAAGUUCCAACUCAUCUGCUGCUGCCACUGCCGCUGCUAUUUUUUGAGGUCAAGAUUCUUCCACCUGUAUGCCCAUCUUCACGGACCAGCCCACCACUGGUGCCUCAAGCAUUUUCACUAUUACAGCCAGUAAUCUGCAGACAUAACCUCAAGCCUACUUUGUACUUUGGUAUAAACUACAUGGAUACCAAUCCUUUUUCACAGGUUUUCAUCUCCUGGUCUCCCCUAGGACCCAGGAUGAGUAUUCCCCCAUUUGACCAGUUCCAUCCCAGUAUGGAGCAGAUAUCCCUUGUAAGGAAUGCAGUCUCCACCAGCCCACCUGUUUUUAUGGUCAACAGCCCUACCUGAAUUUCCAACAUUGCCUUUUGACCCAGGAAACACCUGUCAGCUGAAAUCUAGGGUUCCUGACAGGCCUCAACAGGAAACCACUCUCUUCAAUGCCCUAUCUUUUCUGGCCUUCCUACCACUGCUUCUGCAGUCACUUCCACUAUAGUAAGCAGAUCCUCUUCAGACUGCCUUUGACUCUGAUGAAAUCAACAUGGAUACCAUGCCCAUUUCCCCAUCUGUUAUCUUCCUGUCUCUCCCUGCAACAUUAACAGCUGUUUCCCUUUGAAGAACCUGGCAGCCCCCCAAAACCCUUCAAACUUAACCAGUGACAGCACCACUCUGUCAGCUUUUGGGAAUUUGACUCCCCCAUGUCCACCUUUGGCAUCUGCUAUGGUUUGAAUGUGUCAACCAAAUUUCGUGUAUUAAAAACUCAAUCCCCAAA